GGCACCUAGAGACAUGGAAGGGUUCAUGGAAAGUGAUGAAUGCUUCAGGGAAUUGAAAAGAGGCAUACAUUCAAAGAUUCCCAAAUAGGUUAACCUUUUUUUGAACCAUUGGUAAAUCCAUGGGCAGGCAAGGGACAACCUGUGAAACAAAACAUCUUAGUAGCCAAAUGAAAAGAAAAUAAAAUUGUUUUCAUAGUAGCAGCAAGUGAAAUGGGAGAAACCUAAAAUGUGGAAGAAAAAUGGGGUUGUGGGAGAGCAAUCUAAGCGUUGUACUUCUAGGUAAAGAAAUUGAGUUGUGCACCCUAGGUGGUGAGAUUCUAGUAGCCAAAAGCAUUAUUCGCUUAUUCUCUAACAUGAUAUUGUUAAAACUAAGUUGACU
rnacentral:ncRNA from 1 species